GAGUUUGAUUAUGGCUCAGAUUGAACGCUGGCGGCAGGCUUAACACAUGCAAGUCGAACGGUAGCAGGAGAAAGCUUGCUUUCUUGCUGACGAGUGGCGGACGGGUGAGUAAUGCUUGGGAAUCUGGCUUAUGGAGGGGGAUAACUACUGGAAACGGUAGCUAAUACCGCGUAAUAUCGAGAGAUUAAAGACUGGGACCUACGGGCCAGUUGCCAUAAGAUGAGCCCAAGUGGGAUUAGGUAGUUGGUGGGGUAAAGGCCUACCAAGCCCGCGAUCUCUAGCUGGUCUGAGAGGAUGACCAGCCACACUGGAACUGAGACACGGUCCAGACUCCUACGGGAGGCAGCAGUGGGGAAUAUUGCACAAUGGGGGGAACCCUGAUGCAGCCAUGCCGCGUGAAUGAAGAAGGCCUUCGGGUUGUAAAGUUCUUUCGGUGGUGAGGAAGGUGUCAACUUUAAUAGAGUUGGUAAAUGACGUAUUCCACAGAAGAG
rnacentral:rRNA from 1 species